rnacentral:ncRNA from 1 species
ACAGGUGCCCGAUAUGCCGUCGGGAGAAUUGGAAAGUUCGGUGCAAGUCCGACGCUGGCCCGCAACCGUGAAAGGGGACGAUUCCGCCUGAGGUCACUGCGACGUUGUCGUGGGAAGACGCGGAUGAGGAUGAUCCUUGAGCCGGGAAGCCAGCCUGUCAU